GAAAUAAAUAAAUAAUUAUGUUUAGGGGAAUUUAUUAAAGGUUUAUUUUAUAUAUAAAUUUUAGUAGUAAUUUUUUAUUAUUUUAAUAAUAAUAAUUAUAAUAAAAUGUAGUAAAUAAAAUUAAAAAUUUAAGAAAUUAAGAUUUAGUAAUACAAAAAUUAGUAACAAAUUUUGUGCCAGCAGUUGCGGUUAUACAAAAAUUAAAUUAAAUUAUUUCAGUUUAUAAAAAAUAAUUUUUUUAAAAAAUAAAUAUUAAAUUAUUAGGUAAAAUUUUAAUUUAAUUAAAUUUUAUUUGAAAAUUAUGUUUUAAUAAAUUUUAAUAUAAACUAGGAUUAGAUACCCUAUUAUUAAAAAUUUAAAUUAUAAUACUAAAAUAGUAGAUAAUUAUUUAUUGAAACUUAAAUAAUAUGGCGGUAUUUUAGUUCAUUUAGGGGAAUCUGUUUAAUAAUUGAUAAUCCACGAAUAAAUUUACUUAAUUUAUAAAAUUUUAUAUAUCGUUGUUAAAAAAAUAUUUUUAAUUAAUUUAUAAUAUUUAAAAAUUAAAAUAAAAAUUAAUUCAGAUCAAGAUGUAGAUUAUAAUUAAGAAUAUAAUGGAUUACAAUAAAUUUAUUUAAAUGAAUAUGAAAUUGAAAAAUUUUAUUGAAGGUGGAUUUAAAUGUAAUUUUAUUUAGUUUAUUAAAAUGAUUUAAAAUUAAAAUAUGUACAUAUUGCCCGUCACUUUCAUUUUAAAAUUGGAAUAAGUCGUAACAAAGUAGAGGUACUGGAAAGUGUUUCUAGAAAGAU
rnacentral:ncRNA from 1 species